UCCUGGUAGCUCAGUCGGUAGAGAAUCUGUCUGCAGUCCAGAAGACCGGGGUUCGAUCCCUGGGUCGGGAA
rnacentral:tRNA from 1 species